AGAAUAUGAUGGGAUGACUCAUCUGGGUCAUCUCCUUCUGUUAGGCAGCCGGCACAUAGCAUUUUGGAUCAUGACAUGCUGUGGGAUGACCCAUCUGGGAUGCCCCAUGUAAUUGAGAUGCCCCAUGGGAUGCCUCCCUGAGACUUGAGACCAAAACAGAAAGCAAGACUUUCUAUCUGGCCAAUUAAGAUGCCCCAUG
rnacentral:lncRNA from 1 species